rnacentral:rRNA from 1 species
UACGUAGGGUCCGAGCGUUAAUCGGAAUUACUGGGCGUAAAGCGUGCGCAGGCGGUUUUGUAAGCCAGAUGUGAAAUCCCCGGGCUUAACCUGGGAAUGGCAUUUGGGACUGCAAGGCUGGAGUACGGCAGAGGGAGGUGGAAUUCCAGGUGUAGCAGUGAAAUGCGUAGAUAUCUGGAGGAACACCGGUGGCGAAGGCGGCAUCCUGGACCGACACUGACACUGAGGAGCGAAAGCCAGGGGAGCAAACGGG